rnacentral:rRNA from 1 species
UACUUGUUCUUUUUAAAAUCUUGUAGGUAGGCUAUCUUUUGUUGCAGCGAGUAAAAUUUUUGGUGAAAUAAGAAUUAGCUAUGGGUCACUAUAAAAAGGUCAGGCUUUUUGGAACCGGGAUUAGAGACCCCGCUACUUGUUAUAAUGUCUAAGGAUUAGAGAUAGAAAUCAUAUGGUUUGGCGGCCAAACUGAUUUAGAGGAGUUUGCUUGUAAUCGACGAGUCUCGUUAGCUCUUGCCUGCCUAAUUUAUGUACACCAUCAUUUAGUUAAUUUUAUAAGAAAAAUUAAGAGAAUUAGUCGAGUAAGUUAGAUCAAGGUGCAGAGUGGGCAGGAUUAAGUUAACUACAAUAUAAAAUUAUACAUGGGCGCGGGCAUGUGCCCGUUAAUAAGUGGAUUUAAGAGUAAUUACUUAUGUUUGAUAUAAUAGGGUUGGUGUACAAAUUGCCCGUCAAUCUCUAAGAG